UACGUAGGCAGCAAGCGUUGUUCGGAGUUACUGGGCGUAAAGGGUGUGUAGGCGGUUGUUUAAGUUUGGUGUGAAAUCUCCCGGCUCAACUGGGAGGGUGCGCCGAAUACUGAAUGACUUCGAGUGCGGGAGAGGAUAGUGGAAUUCCUGGUGUAGCGGUGAAAUGCGCAGAUAUCAGGAGGAACACCAAUUGCGAAGGCAGCUCGCUGGGACGUUACUGACGCUGAGACGCGAAAGCGUGGGGAGCAAACAGG
rnacentral:rRNA from 1 species